rnacentral:misc_RNA from 1 species
CCAAACUUGGUCAUUUAGAGGAAGUAAAAGUCGUAACAAGGUUUCCGUAGGUGAACCUGCGGAAGGAUCAUUACAAGUUCCGGCCGAAACCCAUUAGGCCUCCGAACGUACACCUCUGACCCGCCCGUGCCUUCCCAGAAGGGGAGGUACGUGUUGAAGUCAAGGUUUAACCUGUUCACUUUUCACCCUUUGUGAAACUUCCACCUUUGCUUCGGCAGCACCGGACGGGCAACCGUAAGGGUAAGGCUGUCGGAAGCUUAACAUAAAACCAGUUGAUGAAAUAUCAUGCCGUCUGAUGUACUCUUUAUUUGAGAAAUCAAGUAAUCUUAUUAAAACUUUCAGCAACGGAUCUCUUGGUUCCCGCAUCGAUGAAGAACGCAGC